UAGGUGGCAAGCGUUGUCCGGAUUUAUUGGGCGUAAAGCGAGCGCAGGCGGUCCAAUAAGUCAGAUGUGAAAAACCUCGGCUCAACCCGAGAAUUGCAUCAGAAACUGUUGAACUUGAGUGCAGAAGAGGAGAGUGGAACUCCAUGUGUAGCGGUGGAAUGCGUAGAUAUAUGGAAGAACACCAGUGGCGAAGGCGGCUCUCUGGUCUGCAACUGACGCUGAGGCUCGAAAGCAUGGGUAGCGAA
rnacentral:rRNA from 1 species